GAUGAACGCUGGCGGCGUGCCUAAUACAUGCAAGUCGAGCGAACAGACGAGGAGCUUGCUCCUCUGACGUUAGCGGCGGACGGGUGAGUAACACGUGGAUAACCUACCUAUAAGACUGGGAUAACUUCGGGAAACCGGAGCUAAUACCGGAUAAUAUAUUGAACCGCAUGGUUCAAUAGUGAAAGACGGUUUUGCUGUCACUUAUAGAUGGAUCCGCGCCGCAUUAGCUAGUUGGUAAGGUAACGGCUUACCAAGGCAACGAUGCGUAGCCGACCUGAGAGGGUGAUCGGCCACACUGGAACUGAGACACGGUCCACACUCCUACGGGAGGCAGCAGUAGGGAAUCUUCCGCAAUGGGCGAAAGCCUGACGGAGCAACGCCGCGUGAGUGAUGAAGGUCUUCGGAUCGUAAAACUCUGUUAUUAGGGAAGAACAAAUGUGUAAGUAACUAUGCACGUCUUGACGGUACCUAAUCAGAAAGCCACGGCUAACUACGUG
rnacentral:rRNA from 1 species